UUGUACUUAAACUAGUUAUCUAGAUGUUGAGGGCAUGGGAAACUUGUUAUGAACCGUGACUGACUGAUCGAUUUUCAUGCACCACAAGGAAUGGGUACCGGAUGCGCUUACAAAAGACGAUGCACCAUGAAAUUAAUGAUUGCUUGGAAUCAUGAUGGACGCCUGACCCUCGCUCACCACACGCACGAAGCCCCUCCUCCCUCAUCCCCCAACAACAACCACCUGUGCCUCCACACACACACACACACACGUCGCAAAGGCCAACAUCGCAAAGACCACGUCACAAGUGUUAUUGUGCUGGUGGUGGGUCGACAACUGCGCCACGCCCUGAUCAGCGUAGUCGCGUGAGGACUACAGUUCCGGCGGUAGAAGGAAGCCCUCUCGCGGCGAUAGCAUCCAUGAGGAUUUUCUUGGCGCUUCUCGUGCUGCUGGGGGUGACGGUCUCAUGCAGCCUCCCUCUGGUGGAAGAGGACCCGCGCACGCAGAGGGAGCCACCACCAAGAGCAAAAGAUGAAAAUCAGCCUCGCGACAUGAAAUCAGACGGAAUGAAUGGAGAGUACCAGAACUGGGACGAAGAGGACGAGGAUGAUGAUUAUGACGAUGAUGAUGAUGAUGAUGAUGAUGACUUCUGGGAGAAUCACCACAUCUGGACACGGGAAGCGAAUAUGGACGACAGGGACGGGGAAGAAUAAAGAUGUGAAGGAAUCAUCACAGUUGACUCAACUUUUUUCGGUUAAUAUUUAUAAUAACUCCUUACUUUGCCGUUGAACAUUGACAUGAUGGUAUUGUAUACUUACUGUUGUAUACGCCUGUAAAAGUUUUAGACAGCGUCUUCUUAUACUUAACUGUCUAGUUCGUGUGCACAGUACGGCUCCUUUUACACACUGAACCCUGGAACACUUCCUAUGCGCCCCAGGAAGUAGUUCAUAUUGUGGGUAAAAUAUAUAAAAGGUCUUUUUUUUUUUUUAUCCAUACAUAACUGCAGCCUGUUUGUUGUAUUGAAAUUACUGAAACAAGAUGAGCAUUUUAUUAUGAGCAUUUUAUGAUGAGGCACAUUUUAUUAGCGCGAUAUACAAAGAACACUCAGAGGGUAUUAUUCCACGCUGCCCCGUCAGGGAGGGUGAGGGUGUCAUGGCGCCAUGCCAGUUUGAGCUGUCAUCAUGGAAACUUUGGAAAAUUGGGAUCUACGAUUGCUGUUAUACCUUUGAAAAUGAUCUCUUUAAUCUUUACAGUCUUGAAGUUUGGCACUAUUUCCUUUCUUGGUGAGUGUUACUGUAUCUUAUUUCUUAAUAUAUGACGAUUUCAGAUGCCGGCCCGUGAGGAAUAGCGUGUGACUGCCGCGGUACGUACUGGUUAGGUUAGGUAAUGUCAGGUUAGGUUAGGUAACGCUAGGUUAGGUUAGUGUUUUUAAGGGGGAGUCCAGAAGGGGCGAAGCUCCCCCGGUUAGGUUACGUUAGGUUGGAUUAGGUAACGUUAGGUUAACUUAGGUAAUUCUAGGUUAGGUUAGUGUCAUUAAGGGGGCAGUCCCUGUUAGGUCACGUUAGGUUAGUGUCCUUAAAAGGGAGGGUCCAAGGGGGACGAAGCUCCCUCGGUUAGGUUAGGUAAUGAUAGGUUAGGUUAGUAUCCUUAGGGGGGAGCAGCCCCACCUCCACACUCCAGUUAGGUUAGGUAAAGAUAGGUUAUGGUAGAAAUUUCCCCACUUCACAAAACAUGGCGUCUCAUCCUUAGACUUAAUGAAUGUCCAAAUUUAGCCUAAUUCGGCUUUCCCCACCAUAAAACCUCGCUUUCCGCGUCCCCAUCCUCUAAUCCCCCGAGGUUGUUAGGUGAAAGGGAAGGAGUUAUGUGUAAAUUGUUGUGUAAAUUAUUGCAAAUUUUUACUCUUUUUUUCUGUUUCAUGAAAUAAUUGUUACUUUAUUUAAACUUCAAUACCCACAUCCUUCCACACAUAUAUAAUACAGUAGUAACCGACCAUUCGUUAUGAUUCUGAAAUGCAAGCUUAUGUUCAUUCCUCCUAAUCCAAUAAAAUAUUGACCCU